rnacentral:lncRNA from 1 species
AUUAAUCAGCAGAUAUGUCUGACAAACCAGAUAUGGCUGAAAUUGAGAAAUUUGACAAGUCUAAGUUGAAGAAGACAGAAACGCAAGAGAAGAACCCACUGCCUUCAAAAGAAACAAUUGAACAGGAGAAGCAGGCGGGUGAAUCGUAAUGAAAUCAGCCCUUCCAAAUUAUGCACUGUACAUUCCACAAGCAUUGCCUUCUUAUUUUUCUUCUUUUAGCUGUUUUAACUUUGUAAGAUGCAAAAAAAAAAAAAUAGAAAAUUAGGAAAUAAAGGACAGAUUCUUUACCUUAUGAAGAAACUAAAGCAGCACUCUUGUGCAUACUUAUCUGAGGGAAUGUCCUUUUUAUGUGCUGGAAGCUACUUUGAGAAAACAUGCACAAUAUUGGACUGGAAACAGAGGAACAAUUGCAGAAACCUAUGCAUAGAUUUCUUCUUGUUUCCCCUUACACAACAAGCUGCGGUAUGCUCCACGUGUGCAGUGGUGCAUGCAGAAGACUACUGCAGACUCCGAGACCAUUUUACAGCUUGUGUGCUGAGAGAUGACCUUGCUUCUUGUGAAAUAAAACAGACUGCCAGUUAUGUAUCCUGUUCUUCCGACCUCAAUAAUUUGUGACAAGCGAAACAGAAAAGUCAGUUCGUUUUCCUUUUUAGUGAAGGAAGGAGUCACAUACUGUCAAAGGUCUACUAUAAAUAAAAUUUCACUUGAUGACCA